rnacentral:lncRNA from 1 species
CUUCUCCUCUGGGAUCUUCCCAACCUGGCAAUUGAACCCACAUCUGCCUGCAUCUCCUGCAUUGCAGGUGGAUUCUUUACCCACUGAGCCACAUGGGAAGCCCAUGGUAGACUAUACCACACUGCAUAUUCUUACAGUGAAUAUAUGUCCACUCUGUGUCUAGGUCUGGAAAAUCUUGCUGGAAGAGAUGGUACUUUAAGAAACUCAAAGCAGGAUGAUUGCCAGCCUUGGAAUAGGAUUGUUUCUGUCCCUGGAGUGUAAGAAAAGGCAAGACCUUCCCUGUGACAGCAAAGAGAUUAGGGCUUUUGCCCAUACUGCUCCCUUUGCUGAACACUGCAUUUGAUCACUCGAAUUCACCCACGAGGUCUCUGUUUAGACGAUGCUUGUUCCAGACAGAGAGAAAUUCCCUCUGUCUCUGGCUCUGUAAGUGAGAUCAGAGCUUCAAAAAUACCACCCUGUAUUAUUUACUUGGACACUUUCUCAGAAGAGGAUUAACUUCAGGAAGAGUUUGGAAGGUUACAA